rnacentral:rRNA from 1 species
GAUGAACGCUGGCGGCGUGCCUAAUACAUGCAAGUCGAGCGAACGGACGAGAAGCUUGCUUCUCUGAUGUUAGCGGCGGACGGGUGAGUAACACGUGGAUAACCUACCUAUAAGACUGGGAUAACUUCGGGAAACCGUAGCUAAUACCGGAUAAUAUUUUGAACCGCAUGGUUCAAAAGUGAAAGACGGUCUUGCUGUCACUUAUAGAUGGAUCCGCGCUGCAUUAGCUAGUUGGUAAGGUAACGGCUUACCAAGGCAACGAUGCAUAGCCGACCUGAGAGGGUGAUCGGCCACACUGGAACUGAGACACGGUCCAGACUCCUACGGGAGGCAGCAGUAGGGAAUCUUCCGCAAUGGGCGAAAGCCUGACGGAGCAACGCCGCGUGAGUGAUGAAGGUCUUCGGAUCGUAAAACUCUGUUAUUAGGGAAGAACAUAUGUGUAAGUAACUCUGCACAUCUUGACGGUACCUAAUCAGAAAGCCACGGCUAGCUACGUG